rnacentral:rRNA from 1 species
UACGUAGGGGGGCAAGCGUUGUCCGGAAUCAUUGGGCGUAAAGAGCGCGUAGGCGGUCCGAUAAGUCGGCUGUGAAAGUCAGGGGCUCAACCCUUGAAAGCCGGCCGAUACUGUCGGACUAGAGUUCGGAAGAGGCGAGUGGAAUUCCGGUGUAGCGGUGAAAUGCGCAGAUAUCGGGAGGAACACCAAUGGCGAAGGCAGCUCGCUGGGACGUGACUGACGCUGAGGCGCGAAAGCGUGGGGAGCAACAGG